UGCAUUUGGAGCCCAUGAGGAUGAGAACCUCCGGGGGCGGGGAGGUUCGACUCGAGCGAAGCGAGAGAACGUUGCGCCAGCAACGGCCCGCAGGGCGAGCCACGAAGUGGCGAGUAAUCCUCUAUCACCGACCA
rnacentral:sRNA from 1 species